CUAAAGGUUCUUUUCAGAGCCACCCACCUUCUCAGUAGAAGCAGCU
rfam:TPA: Bos taurus chromosome 3, whole genome shotgun sequence.